AUGCAAGUCGAGGGGUAUAGUUCUUCGGAUCUAGAGACCGGCGCACGGGUGCGUAACGCGUAUGCAAUCUACCUUUUACAGCGGGAUAGCCCAGAGAAAUUUGGAUUAAUACCUCAUAGUAUGAUACAAUCGCAUGAUUGAAUCAUUAAAGUCACAACGGUAAAAGAUGAGCAUGCGUCCCAUUAGCUAGUUGGUAAGGUAACGGCUUACCAAGGCAACGAUGGGUAGGGGUCCUGAGAGGGAGAUCCCCCACACUGGUACUGAGACACGGACCAGACUCCUACGGGAGGCAGCAGUGAGGAAUAUUGGACAAUGGGCGCAAGCCUGAUCCAGCCAUGCCGCGUGCAGGAUGACGGUCCUAUGGAUUGUAAACUGCUUUUGUACAGGAAGAAACACUCCCUCGUGAGGGAGCUUGACGGUACUGUAAGAAUAAGGAUCGGCUAACUCCGUGCCAGCAGCCGCGGUAAUACGGAGGAUCCAAGCGUUAUCCGGAAUCAUUGGGUUUAAAGGGUCCGUAGGCGGUCUUAUAAGUCAGUGGUGAAAUCUCCCCGCUCAACGGGGAAACGGCCAUUGAUACUGUAGGACUUGAAUUAUUAGGAAGUAACUAGAAUAUGUAGUGUAGCGGUGAAAUGCUUAGAGAUUACAUGGAAUACCAAUUGCGAAGGCAGGUUACUACUAAUGGAUUGACGCUGAUGGACGAAAGCGUGGGUAGCGAACAGGAUUAGAUACCCUGGUAGUCCACGCCGUAAACGAUGGAUACUAGCUGUUGGGCGCAAGCUCAGUGGCUAAGCGAAAGUGAUAAGUAUCCCACCUGGGGAGUACGUUCGCAAGAAUGAAACUCAAAGGAAUUGACGGGGGCCCGCACAAGCGGUGGAGCAUGUGGUUUAAUUCGAUGAUACGCGAGGAACCUUACUAGGCUUAAAUGUAGAUUGACCGUUUUGGAAACAGAACUUUCGCAAGACAAU
rnacentral:rRNA from 1 species